UCAGGGCGGUGAAUGUUGUUAUUUCUCCUUCAGCCAUCUCUGAGCGUCUCCCAGUGGCACGGCUUCAAGACUACAGCACACUGCUCCGGAGAGAGGGUUGGCUG